AAAAACUAUCCUUCAGAAUUCACAUCAUAUUUCCAUUAUUGCCGAUCAUUGCGAUUUGACGAUACACCAGAUUACUCGUAUCUUAAGAGGCUCUUUCGGGACUUAUUUAUUCGAGAAGGGUAUCAGUUUGACUAUGUAUUUGACUGGACUAUAUUGAAGUAUCCCCAGAUUGGCUCCAGUUCUAGAGCAAGGACAAGCAGCAAACCAGCUAUAAAUCCAGGUCCAUCAGCAGAAAGAGUGGAACGACCGUCAGUGGGCCAGGAGAUACGAGAUAGAUUCUCAGGUGCAGUUGAGGCAUUUGCUCGAAGAAAUGGUUCUGGGCAUACUUUGCAUGGGGAUCACUCCCGACACAGGUCUACAGAUGAUGUGCCAUCAUCUAAGGAUGUGCAUACUGGUUCUGAAAGGCACCGACCAUCUUCUCGAAAUGGUAGUACUUCAAAGAGGGCUGUCGUAUCAAGCAGCCGGCCAAGCUCAUCUGGUGAGCUUAGUGAGAAUCGGUCAACACGGUUGCUCUCAAGCAGUGGUCGAUUGUCCACGACCCAUAGAGUGCAACCUGGGUUUGAGUCGAAAUCAUCUUCAUUUACUCGUGCUACAGCCACAAGAGGCGGUCGUGAUGAUACACUUGGGAGCUUUGAGCUUCUGUCCAUUGGCACAGGAAAAAGGAAAUAAGCAAUAUAUUCGUUUCUGGUAAGAAAUGUUAUCUUGUGUUAGGGAUCAUACCUCCUCAUGUAGCCAAGAUCAGAGGAUUACAGUGGUGUGUUAGCAGUUACUUUGUAUAUGUUUUCUUAUUGUUGGAUUCAACUCAAGGCAAAAAGCUCCUCGAAGUUUCUCAUGGAAAGACUCCUGGACCCCUCUGCUUUAUCUCCUCAGGGAUUCUUGCAAUUACAAGACUCAGUGAACUUGUCCUAUAAGGACGUGCAUCAUUUCACGUUAGGGAAUUGUUUACAUGUAAGACACUAGUCACUUUGUAAUAAAUAUAACUCC
rnacentral:misc_RNA from 1 species